rnacentral:misc_RNA from 1 species
AUUAUAUUCAUGUAUUUUUAGGUUAAGUAUGAACGCUGUGACGUCAUCAUGUACACAAACUCGGUCUGUCUGGGUGGAAUAAUUUCUCUUGGCUGUUGACGAAGACCACCACCACGACAUAAAGGUGUGAGUGGAUGGAAAGGAACAUUAUGGUAGCAUCAGGAGGCCAUCCCACACAAGAGGCAGAACAAUUCCUCACAACUGUAUAAGUCAGGACAGUAUGAGGAUUAGUGAACAUCUUCAGGAGAACAUUGUAAACAAGAUUAAGAUUACUGUACAAGCCCAUAAUAAUGGCUCCUAAAGUAGAUAAACUUCGUUGUGUGA